rnacentral:rRNA from 1 species
GAGUUUGAUCGUGGCUCAGGAUGAACGCUAGCGGCAGGCUUAACACAUGCAAGUCGAGGGGUAUUGGAGGCUUGCUUCCGAGGGACCGGCGCACGGGUGCGUAACGCGUAUGCAAUCUGCCUUGUACUGGGGAAUAGCCCGGAGAAAUCCGGAUUAAUGCCCCAUAGUAUUUUAGAGUGGCAUCACUUUAUUAUUAAAGAUUUAUCGGUACAAGAUGAGCAUGCGUCCCAUUAGUUAGUUGGUGUGGUAACGGCACACCAAGACUAUGAUGGGUAGGGGUCCUGAGAGGGAGAUCCCCCACACUGGUACUGAGACACGGACCAGA